GAUGAACGUUAGCGGGAGGCUUAAUACAUGCAAGUCGAGCGGUAAGUUUUUAUAGCAAUAUGAAGACCUAGAGCGGCGCACGGGUGAGUAACGCGUACACGACCUGGCCUAAACUGGGGGAUAGCCUUGGGAAACUGAGAGUAAUCCCGCAUGUGAUUAUGUUACUGAUGGUGAUAUAAUUAAAGCUUCGGCGGUUUAGGAUGGGUGUGCGUCUGAUUAGCUAGUUGGUAGUGUAACGGACUACCAAGGCGAUGAUCAGUAGGGGGCGUGAGAGCGUGACCCCCCCACACGGGUACUGAGACACGGACCCGACUCCUACGGGAGGCAGCAGUAAGGAAUAUUGGUCAAUGCCCGGAAGGGUGAACCAGCCAUCCCGCGUGAAGGAUGAAGGGGCUCUGCCUUGUAAACUUCUUUUGUAUGAGGCGAAAAAAGGGGAUUUAUCCUCGACUGACGGUACCAUAAGAAUAAGCACCGGCUAACUCCGUGCCAGCAGCCGCGGUAAU
rnacentral:rRNA from 1 species